rnacentral:rRNA from 1 species
GUGGGGAAUAUUGGACAAUGGGCGCAAGCCUGAUCCAGCAAUGCCGCGUGGGUGAAGAAGGCCUUCGGGUUGUAAAGCCCUUUUGUACGGGAAGAAAUCAUACGGGUUAAUACCCUGGGUGGAUGACGGUACCGUAAGAAUAAGCACCGGCUAACUUCGUGCCAGCAGCCGCGGUAAUACGAAGGGUGCAAGCGUUAAUCGGAAUUACUGGGCGUAAAGCGUGCGUAGGUGGUUGUUCAAGUCUGUCGUGAAAGCCCUGGGCUCAACCUGGGAAUGGCGAUGGAAACUGGGCGACUAGAGUGCGGUAGAGGAUGGCGGAAUUCCCGGUGUAGCGGUGAAAUGCGUAGAGAUCGGGAGGAACAUCCGUGGCGAAGGCGGCCAUCUGGACCAGCACUGACACUGAGGCACGAAAGCGUGGGGAGCAAACAGGAUUAGAAACCCGGGUAGUCC